rnacentral:rRNA from 1 species
GAUGAACGCUAGCGGCAGGCCUAAUACAUGCAAGUCGAGGGGCAGCGGGAGUAGCAAUACUUGCCGGCGACCGGCGCACGGGUGCGUAACACGUAUGUAAUCUACCCUUUACUGGAGAAUAGCCCGAAGAAAUUCGGAUUAAUGAUCCAUAAUAUAACUGGAAGGCAUCUUUUGGUGAUUAAAGUUCCGACGGUAAAGGAGGAGCAUGCGCGAUAUUAGAUAGUUGGUGAGGUAAGGGCUCACCAAGGCGACGAUAUCUAGGGGUACUGAGAGGUUACACCCCCACACUGGUACUGAGACACGGACCAGACUCCUACGGGAGGCAGCAGUAAGGAAUAUUGGACAAUGGUCGCAAGACUGAUCCAGCCAUGCCGCGUGCAGGAUGAAUGCCCUAUGGGUUGUAAACUGCUUUUAUACGGGAAUAAACCCGGGUACGUGUACCCGGCUGAAUGUACCGUAAGAAUAAGGGUCGGUUAACUUCGUGCCAGCAGCCGCCGUAAAAC